UACUGGGCGUAAAGAGUUGCGUAGGUGGUUUGUUAAGCGGGCAGUGAAAUCGUGUGGCUCAACCAUACACACAUUGUCUGAACUGGCAAACUUGAGUGAGAUAGAGGUAACUGGAAUUCCAAGUGUAGGAGUGAAAUCCGUAGAUAUUUGGAGGAACACCGAUGGCGUAGGCAGGUUACUGGAUCUCAACUGACACUAAGGCACGAAAGCAUGGGGAGCAAACGGGAUUAGAUACCCCGGUAGUCCAUGCCCUAAACUAUGGAUGCUAGCUGUUUGAGGUAUCGACCCCUUAAGUAGCGAAGCUAACGCGUUAAGCAUCCCGCCUGUGGAGUACGAGCGCAAGCUUAAAACAUAAAGGAAUUGACGGGGACCCGCACAAGCGGUGGAGCGUGUUGUUUAAUUCGAUGGUAAGCGAAGAACCUUACCCAGACUUGACUUCCUUGGAAGUUCUGCGAAAGCAGAGUGUGCCUUCGGGAACCAAGUGACAGGUGUUGCAUGGCCGUCGUCAGCUCGUGUCGUGAGAUGUUAGGUUAAGUCCUUCAACGAGCGCAACCCUUGUAUUCAGUUGAAUUUUUCUGAAUAGACUGCCCUGGUAACAGGGAGGAAGGAGGGGAUGAUGUCAGGUCAGUAUUACCCUUACGUCUGGGGCUACAAACACGCUACAAUGGCCGGUACAAAGGGCAGCCAACCCGCGAGGGGGAGCAAAUCCUAUCAAAGCCGGUCUCAGUUCGGAUUGCAGGCUGAAACUCGCCUGCAUGAAGCUGGAAUCGCUAGUAACGGUAAGUCAGCACAUUACCGUGAAUACGUUCCCGGGUCUUGUACACACCGCCCGUCAAACCAUGAAAGUCACCAAUACCUGACGUCC
rnacentral:rRNA from 1 species